UUAACUCAAAUUAGUAUGAGAUUGGAACGUUUACCUACGUUUGCCGCUAGGGGCGCUGUUCCAACUGCAGAGUUAACUUUUACGCUA
rnacentral:pre_miRNA from 1 species